GUCCUACGGGGGGCAGCAGUAGGGAAUCUUCCACAAUGGACGAAAGUCUGAUGGAGCAACGCCGCGUGGGUGAAGAAGGUCUUCGGAUCGUAAAACCCUGUUGUUAGAGAAGAAAGUGCGUGAGAGUAACUGUUCACGUUUCGACGGUAUCUAACCAGAAAGCCACGGCUAACUACGUGCCAGCAGCCGCGGUAAUACGUAGGUGGCAAGCGUUAUCCGGAUUUAUUGGGCGUAAAGGGAACGCAGGCGGUCUUUUUAGUCUGAUGUGAAAGCCUUCGGCUUAACCGGAGUAGUGCAUUGGAAAC
rnacentral:rRNA from 1 species